AUUUAUGUAGUUUAAUAAAAACAUUACACUUUCACUGUAAAAACAAAGAAUAGCUUUCAUAAAUA
rnacentral:tRNA from 1 species